rnacentral:misc_RNA from 1 species
GUGAAUCAUCGAAUCUUUGAACGCACAUUGCGCCCGCCAGUAUUCUGGCGGGCAUGCCUGUUCGAGCGUCAUUUCAACCCUCAAGCCCCCGGGCUUGGUGUUGGGGAUCGGCCCCUCCUCUCCGGGGGGGCCGGCCCCGAAAUCUAGUGGCGGUCUCGCUGUAGCCUCCUCUGCGUAGUAGCAACACCUCGCACUGGAACGCGGCGCGGCCACGCCGUUAAACCCCCCACUUCUGAAGGUUGACCUCGGAUCAGGUAGGAAUACCCGCUGAACUUAAGCAUAUCAAUAAGCGGAGGA